CUUAGACGGUAGGGUAUUGGCCUACCGUGGCGAUGACGGGUAACGGGGAAUUAGGGUUCGAUUCCGGAGAGGGAGCCUGAGAAACGGCUACCACAUCUAAGGAAGGCAGCAGGCGCGCAAAUUACCCAAUCCUAAUACAGGGAGGUAGUGACAAGAAAUAACAAUACAGGACUUUUUGGUUUUGUAAUUGGAAUGAGUUAAGUAUAAACCCCUUUACAAGUAUCAAUUGGAGGGCAAGUCUGGUGCCAGCAGCCGCGGUAAUUCCAGCUCCAAUAGCGUAUAUUAAAGUUGUUGCAGUUAAAAAGCUCGUAGUUGGAUUUCUGUUAAUAAUUUGUAUAAAAUAUUUUGAAUAUUUAUAUAACAUUAACAUAAUUCAUAUUACUAUAUUUUUUAGUAUAUGAAAUUUUACUUUGAGAAAAUUAGAGUGCUUAAAGCAGGCAUAUGCCUUGAAUACUCCAGCAUGGAAUAAUAUUAAAGAUUUUUAUCUUUUUUAUUGGUUCUAAGAUAAGAAUAAUGAUAAU
rnacentral:rRNA from 1 species